rnacentral:misc_RNA from 1 species
AACGCACGAGACCUGCGGACCUGCGGAAGGAUCAUUACCGAGUUUACAACUCCCAAACCCAAUGUGAACGUUACCAAACUGUUGCCUCGGCGGGAUCUCUGCCCCGGGUGCGUCGCAGCCCCGGACCAAGGCGCCCGCCGGAGGACCAACCAAAACUCUUUUGUGUACCCCCUCGCGGGUUUUUAUAUCUGAGCCAUCUCGGCGCCUCUCGUAGGCGUUUCGAAAAUGAAUCAAAACUUU